ACGACCCAACCUUCUCUUUGAUUAAAUCUUCUUUCCCCCGUUCUUCGCUUGCCAUGGCCGGAAUCGAACUCGAUUGGGGUAGACUUUGUAAAGACGUCCUCUUCUCCAUUGUCAAACUUCUCCCCGCACGAAUCGAUAUCCUUCGUUGCGCGCCGCUUGUCGCUUAUUUUGCUCCACUAUUCCUCUUCCUUAAAAACAUUACCCAUUCCCACCCUACAUUCUAAUCACCACCGACUUCCUCAAAGACCCGAACUUUAUCGAAAAUGACGUUAGAAUGACGUCUUAACCUCAGGGAUUCCACUAUUUACUCCAUCGAGCCCCUCAACAGAAUCUCCAAUACCCAGGACGAAGAAACUCCUCAAACGUGGGUGGUCAGAGUCCAAGAGUUAAACUCAGGCAAGAGCUUAUGGCCGGUGCUGGUGAGGAGAAACAGAGAAGAGGCAGCGGAGAUAAUUGUGAGAGAAACAUUCCAAGGUUCAUGACUUGAUUGUUAAAGAAGGUAGCAUGGUGACCGUGGAUUUUUGUUGUGGUUAGGAUAGGUUUUGAGUGUUGGUAAUAUGAACAUCACAAAUUGGAUACUUAAUUAGCUACUGGUGCUUGCUAUUUAUUUUUUUGUGUAGUACUUGUUUGUAUCCAAAUCUCGGAUGUUGAUGUAUAAAGAAUUUGCUAAAAAGACAAAAUUAUUAUGAAUUGAGAACUCUGACUUGUUGAAA